rnacentral:lncRNA from 1 species
CCAAUAUUGAAAAUGGGGCUUUGACUAGUCAAAGGAGGAAAGUCCUCCUUUGUUGUCUGAUUCGCAAGCCACCAAUUCAAACAACCAUACAGGCACCUUGAUCAUUCAAUUUCUAGCCACAUAUUCUACCUAUACUUUAUUAUAAAAACCUCCACCCAACCAUUUUAAUCAGAUUUUUGCACAUACAAGCUCAAGAACAAAGAUUUUGGUACUAUACCCAGAAAGUCAGCGCAAAUGGAUCUCGGAAUCUAGGCCUAACGAGUAAUACGCGGAAAGGUGUGGAUUAGCAUACUUUGAUAGCCUAGUACUUGUGCAACCUGCAUAGCCACAUGGGGUACUUGGUUAUUGGUUGUGGUAACCAGGACACUACGUGACGACCCCCUUUGUGUUAGCUGCUUGUGAAGUUUAUGUGCGAUACUAUGUGGAUCUGCUACUUUGCUAAAUAAAACGGUUCAUGGAAACUCGCGUAGUAUCUAGCUAAAAUAUGUAACAGUAAUGUGUAAUAGCGAUACGUAAAACAAUGAUGUAUCAUAUUGUUUAAUUAAUGUUUAAUAGAGUAUCUUUAUAACAAUGACUCAAACCAGAAGUGUUUGUUGCAUCCCUUUUUAUCGUUUCCGCUGCUAGUCGGGGUGU